CUUGUACACACCGCCCGUCACACCAUGGGAGUGGGUUUCACCAGAAGUAGUUAGCCUAACCGCAAGGGGGGCGACUACCACGGUGAGAUUCAUGACUGGGGUGAAGUCGUAACAAGGUCCCC
rnacentral:rRNA from 1 species